UCCCUGAUCGCCCAGCGGUUAGGACUCAGUGCUUUCACUGCUGAGGGCCUGGGUUCAAUCCCUGGUCAAGGGA
rnacentral:tRNA from 1 species